ACGGGGGGAGCAAGCGUUGUUCGGAUUUACUGGGCGUAAAGGGUGCGUAGGCGGUGGGGUAAGUUUGAGGUGAAAGCUCCGGGCUCAACCCGGAAAAUGCCUUGAAAACUAUCCGGCUAGAGGGUUGGAGGGGAGACUGGAAUUCUCGGUGUAGCAGUGAAAUGCGUAGAUUUCGAGAGGAACACCAGUGGCGAAGGCGGGUCUCUGGACAACACCUGACGCUGAGGCACGAAAGCCAGGGGAGCAAACGGGA
rnacentral:rRNA from 1 species